GACGAACGCUGGCGGCGUGCUUAACACAUGCAAGUCGAACGGAAAGGCCCUGCUUUUGUGGGGUUCUCGAGUGGCGAACGGGUGAGUAACACGUGAGUAACCUGCCCUUGACUUUGGGAUAACUUCAGGAAACUGGGGCUAAUACCGGAUAGGAGCUCCUGCUGCAUGGUGGGGGUUGGAAAGUUUCGGCUGUUGGGGAUGGACUCGCGGCUUAUCUGCUUGUUGGUUGGGUAGUGGCUUACCAAGGCUUUGACGGGUAGGCGGCCUGAGAGGGUGACCGGCCACCUUGGGACUGAGAUACGGCCCAGACUCCUACAGGAGGCAGCAGUGGGGAAUAUUGCACAAUGGGCGGAAGCCUGAUGAAGCAACGCCGCGUGCGGGAUGACGGCCUUCGGGUUGUAAACCGCUUUAGCCUGUGACGAAGCGUGAGUGACGGUAAUGGGUAAAGAAGCACCGGCUAACUACGUG
rnacentral:rRNA from 1 species